UAUUGUAUUUCAUGACAUACGAGAAAGAUGUUAUACCUUUUGCUCCUAGAUAAAAAGGGUUAUGACGAAGAUUCAGUGACAAAUACAUAGUUACAGCUUCCAGUGCAGUGUUUGUAAUGAGCCACAAUAAGACAAAACGCUGGCAGGCAACACUAGACAAGAUGAUGGAAAUGGCAGGUUGUUUCAUGAUGAUGUUUUUGGUAUAGAGCGGACCUAUAAUGGAGGGGACAGCCGUAGAUGAAACUUUUGAGAUAGAAGAUCUAAUGUUGUACUGAGAAGACAGUUCUGCUGAGAGUUUUGUGAUGUAGCGAGGUUUGAGAUUCUCUAAAUUUGACUUAAAGAUAUUGGUAAUGAGAUUGGUUAAAUUAGACAUUUAAAAAAAAAAGGAAGUUUUUAAGGGCCGAUGAUCCAUUUCCUUUAUUUUCUAAAUAUACAUGUUCCCAGAAAUGAAGUCUGCAGAUGACUUAUUGCAGUUUAACUACAUCCAGAAUCCUGUGAAGAAUCAACUUUCUACUUUACCGUUAAAAAGUCCCUAAUUAUUGAGUUAUUUUUCUUUUUAAGUAGCCACCAAAAUUUAGGUGAAAUUAUGCUGAAAUAUCAAAAUAUUAGAAUUUCCCCAAAAAACUCUAGCCUUUAUAUUACACAUCUUUUGUUGGCGCGGCAGUAUAUUUAAGAAAAAUUAAAAAAUUAAAAAAAAAAAUGUGAACUGAAGAAAAAAAUAUGAUACUGCUGAAAACCUGUGUGAUAUAGAGGUUUGAGUUUCUCUAAAUUUGAGUUCAAAGAAAUUGGUAAUGAGAUUUGUUAAAUAAGACCUUUA